GUUUGAAGGAGAGCAGUGACAAGGGAGAAGUAAGCAAGCAGCUAUGUAGUAUAUAGAGAGGAAGGAGGCCACGUGGCCUGGACUGAUAAGGGAGGAAGA